AGCGCAAUCUGGUAAUUCAUUU
rnacentral:siRNA from 1 species